AGCUUGCACAUAAGAAUCUGCCAUUGAUGGAAGGUUUCUCGAUACAGAAGAUAUGGGCUUCACAGACAUCGUCUAUGUGUAUGAUUGGGACUUUUCCGAGCAACUCCUCUAGGAACUUUAGGGCUUGAUACCGGUUUUCAUGGUCGGUAAGCUGAGAUAUAAACAAAUCUACGCUUUCUGGUGUGUAAGGUAGAAGAGUCUCCCCUCCCACAAGUCCAUAAGCCAGUGAAACUACCUCCAAUCCGCCGGUCUUAUUCUCCCCAUGGCUCAAAAUUUCUUUUUCAGCCACUGUCUUUGAAUGCGCGUAGUCCUGUAAUCAGGACAAAUUAAUAUUCUCUCUCAACUGUUUGGAUUUCAAGUAAUAUUUUAUUGAGCAUUAGAGUUAAGGAAAAACUUGCCUUUAGAUGAGAAUUACCAUGAGAGAAUGGAAGAUUAAGAGGGGUCCAACAAGAUUCAUCCAUGGAGUCCUUGAAACCAGUCUCGUCAUCUUUUAAUGGGGCUGCAGCCACCACGGAAGCAGUGUAGAUUACUCGCCUCACAGUUGCUGAAUUGAUGCAAGACACUGCAAUGCUCUUUGCCCCAGCCACUGCAGCUUCUGCUGUGUUCUUGUACUGUUUUACAGAAAUUGGAUUACUUAUAAUUAAAUAUAAGUAUAUGUGGAUGAAAAUGAUGGGAAAUUGGGACAAACCUGAGAGUCCUCAAUGUGUUGCAAGGGGGUGGCAACAUGGAAAACAAACUCACACCCUUGAAUGGCCUGCUCGAACUCAUCAGGAUUGUAAAUGUCGGCUUUAAACAACCUCAGUCUCGUGUCAGCAUUAGGCAAGCUCUGGAGGAGUCCCACCUUGCAGCUCCUGUUCUCCAUUGCGACUACUCGUUGUUUUUCAGAAGAAAAAAAAAACCAAGCACUCAAAAGGGGUGAAUGGUGGUUGAUUUCUGAUCAUUUACAUGUGUGACAUUUGUAUAUAUAACAUGAGUUGUCCCAUUUUCUUGUUUUCUAGGUAGUACACAUGAUAGUGCACCAUCAUGAUACAACCAUAAGAAAGAAAUGGAUGAUGGUACUGAUAAAUUGGGUGUCACUGAUUAAAAUUUGUCCGUCAACGCAAGCGUUGAUUGGGUCAAAGCUAAAAAUGAGUUGUCCAUCAACAUCCGUUGGUGAACGCAAGCAUUGACUGGGUCAAAGCUAAAAAAUGAAUUAUUUCUCUAUCGAGAGUUGAACCCUGACAAAAGGUUGGGCAAGCACCCACCUUAGUGUCGGGGCAAGUGUGCCCCUUACAAAUUAUGUAGAUAAGGGGCACGUUUGCCCCGUGUUUGCCCAAUAUACAUAUAUAUAUUAAAAAAUUUUAUAUGCACAAAAUAUUAAAACAAUAUUUUAAAUAAUGGAUUAAUUAAAAUUAUUUUAUAAUUAAAUGAAAAAUUUUCAUUUAAUUGAUUAGUAAAAAGUAUUUAAUAUAAUUAGUAUAUUAAUUAAAUAUUAAAAAAUUAAAUAUUUAUUAUUAUUUAUUUUAUAUCAUUUAAUAUAAUUAAAUUAAAUAUAUCAUAAUUUUAAUAUUAAAUAUAUUUUAAAAUUAGUUAUAUUAUAAUCAAAUAUCAUAAUAUUAUUAUCAAAUAAUAUUUGAUGUAAUUAAUAAUAACAUACACUUAUAAAAUUUAUAUUUUUUAUUGACGCAUAUAAUAUUAUCAUCAAAUAUGAUAAAUUAUAUAUAUAUAUAUAUAUAUAUAUAUAUAUUAAUUUCUUUAAUAAAAACAACUUUAAAAUAUCUAUUAUAGUUGUAAUUUUAUUUUUAAAAGUUUUAUUUUACAUUUUUCAUAAGUUUUAAUAAAUUUUAGGUCAAUUGAUCCAUCGAUAUAUCUGUAAAAUCAAACUAUCAAUAUAUCCAUGAUUAUCAAUAUUUUUUUUUUCCUUUUAUGAGUUUUGAUAAAUUUAGAUAUUAUUUCUAAAAUAUUCAAUAGAUACUUAAUGAUAUUUUUGUGUUUUUAAGUUCUAUAAUGAAAAUAACUUUAAUAUAUAUAUAUCAAUCCUUCUUUUUCAUUAUUUUUGAGUUUUUUUUAAUAUUUUCAUAAAUUUUUAUAAAUAUUUAUCGAUAUUUUCUGAUAUAUUAUAAUAUAUCCAUAAAAUUGUAUUAUCAUAUAUUCAUCUAAACCAAUAUUUUGAGUACUGAUGUAGUAUAAUUCUUCUUUUAAUUUUCCUUUGCGUGUGCUGGUGACUUUAUUGUUCUUCUUCAAAGACACAGAAAAAAAAUUCAUAUGUGGGAUUCAGAGUAUAUAGCCUAUAAAUUGGAAGCCGCAGUGAAAAAACCAUGGUUUCUUUGCAGUAGUAGUCGUGUGGGAUUGUUCAGUGUUCAUGGCCUAUGAAUUCAAUACCACAACGAAUUUUGAACUCAGAUUUUAUUCCUCUCCUUGUCCUGCUCAUGAAUAUUGUUUUUUCUUGUACUACAUAUCACAUCAAAUAUGCAUAACACAAUUCAUUUCGGUAAUGGUUUCGUUGGCAGAGCCUUUUUUGUGCUUGUACGUAAUUCAAACCUAACUAAACAUAGAUAAACAUGGAAAAAGGGCUGGUGAAGAUCACUCCAUCUUACUUCCACAGGUGAUAAAAUCUUUCCAUAUCAAUAGAGGUGCAAGAAAGAAUGAAAAACACCUGAUAAAAAAAAAACUUAUGAUUUAAAGUGGUGAAACAUGAAAUGUUUUAAGAGUCGGUAGUUAUAUUUGGUUUUAUCUUUUAUAAUAUUCUUUAUGGUAUAAAGAAAAAAAUUCUCUCAUUCGUAAGUAUAAGCAUGAUUGACCGAACCACGUUAAAAUUAUUUAUAUUUUUAUACGAAUGGUUUUAUCUUUAUUUUAAAACUUUAGAAUAUUUUAUGGUUUAUUAUAAUUUUUUUUCAUAAAAAUUUAUUUGUGUCUAAAAAUGUAAUAGCAAAAUGAAAAUUUAAUUAGUGUUAACUUAUUUUUUGUGUUUUUAGAUAUUUAUUAAAAUUAACUUUUAUUAAGAAUAUUUUAUUUUCAAUUAUUAUCUAAAUUUGUGUAAUUAUAUUUUAAAACGAUAUCCAUUUUGAAAAAAUUAUCAAACAUAUUUUCUACAUCUGAAAAACAAUUAUUUUUUUCCCGAUUACAUGCUCUACCCAAUAUAUAGAUAUUAUCUAGCAUAUUAAGAGGUUGACAUCCAUAGACUUUCAUCUUAUGAUAUCUUAUCUCCUUGAUAAAAUAAAUCUUUAGAAUAAGUCAUUUGUUGGAAGUGAAUCAUAUAGAAUGGACCAACAAGAAGAAGACAAAAACCACCCCAUUCGAAGCUCUUUUACUUUAUAUGCAAUUAUCUUUAUAUUUUUUUUAUUAUAUAUUUGCAUAUAAUUAUUUCUUGUAUUCACAUAAUUUAAAUUUACAAAAAGAGAUCAUCACCUUAUUCCCCUCUUUAGGUUGGAUUAACCUAAGUUUUUUUUAACAAAAAUAAUAUAAAAAGAAAGUAGAAAGAAAAAAAAAUUAAUUAAAAUUAAUAAAUUAUUUUUACAUGCUAUUUCAGAUUCAUUUAACUUAUUUUAACUUUUUAAUAUGAAAAUCAAAUGGUCUAAAAAUACACAAGUUUGUAACUAAUUUAAAUUAUAUUUUAUUUUCUUUUGAAUUUUUCACGAUAUAAUCAAAUACAAGAAAAUCAUUUUUCUUAAUAUUUUUUUCUUUUGUUGGCGCUUCCCACGACCUAACAGAACCUAACCUAACAUAACCUAAUGUUAUUUGUCCUCUUCAUGAUAUUUUUCAUAGUACUACAUAUUACAAAAUAUGCAUGACACUUCCUCAUGGUACUGGUCUCUGUGUACAACCUUUUUUGUGCUUGUAGUUCCACCCUAACUAAAAAUAAACAAACAACAUGGAAAAAAGACUACUGCAGAUCACCCAUCUGCCUUCCACAGCUGAUACAAUCUUCCAAUAUCAUAUUGGUAUCACAUUUAUACUCAAACCCCUCCUCAAUUAGCUUUGUUGAUCCCCACUUAAUCUCUUUUUUUGGCCCAAUUUUCAAAUACCUGAAACCAAAAUGUAAGCACUGAUGAUCAGUUCCAAAAAUUGUAGCAAAUUACAUACAAUAUUAUAGCUUCUUACUCUGCUUUUAUAUGAAGUUGUGGAUAAUUUUCGUGAUAGUAGUUAGUAAUUUCUGCAGAAGAAAUACACGAGCUUGCACAUAAGAAUCUGCCAUUGAUGGAAGGUUUCUCGAUACAGAAGAUAUGGGCUUCACAGACAUCGUCUAUGUGUAUGAUUGGGACUUUUCCGAGCAACUCCUCUAGGAACUUUAGGGUUUGAUACCGGUUUUCAUGGUCGGUAAGCUGAGAUAUAAACAAACCUACGCUUUCUGGUGUGUAAGGUAGAAGAGUCUCCCCUCCCACAAGCCCACAAGCCAGUGAAACCACCUCCAAUCCGCCGGUCUUAUUCUCCCCAUGGCUCAAGAUUUCUUUUUCAGCCACUGUCUUUGAAUGAGCAUAGUCCUGUAAUCAGGACAAAUUAAUAUUCUCUCAACUGUUUGGAUUUCAAGUCCUAUUUUAUUGAGCAUUAGAGUUAAGGAAAAACUCGCCUUUAGAUGAGAAUUACUAUGAGAGAAUGGAAGAUUAAGAGGGGUCCAACAAGAUUCAUCCAUGGAGUCCUUGAAACCAGUCCCGUCAUCUUUCAAUGGGGCUGCAGCCACCACGGAAGCAGUGUAGAUUAGUCGCCUCACAGUUGCUGAUUUGAUGCAAGACACUGCAAUGCUCUUUGCCCCAGCCACUGCAGCUUCUGCUGUGUCCUUGUACUGUUUUACAGAAAUUGGAUUACUUAUAAUUAAAUAUAAGUAUAUGUAGAUGAAAAUGAUGGGAAAUUGGGUCAAACCUGAGAGCCCUCAAUGUGUUGCAAGGGGGUGGCAACAUGGAAAACAAACUCACACCCUUGAAUGGCCUGCUCGAACUCAUCUGGAUUGUAAAUGUCGGCUUUAAACAACCUCAGUCUCGUGUCAGCAUUAGGCAAGCUCUGGAGGAGUCCCACCUUGGCAUGAUCAUCUGCAAUUCACCAUUGCAAAUCUGCUGAGAGAAAGAGAGGAAUUGAUAGAGAAAUAGGGAGAGAUGAGGAAAGGGAGAGUAUAUACG
rnacentral:lncRNA from 1 species